rnacentral:rRNA from 1 species
GACGAACGCUGGCGGCGUGCUUAACACAUGCAAGUCGAACGCUGAAGCUUGGUGCUUGCACUGGGUGGAUGAGUGGCGAACGGGUGAGUAAUACGUGAGUAACCUGCCCUUGACUCUGGGAUAAGCCUGGGAAACUGGGUCUAAUACUGGAUAUGACAUGCCACUGCAUGGUGGUGUGUGGAAAGGGUUUUACUGGUUUUGGAUGGGCUCACGGCCUAUCAGCUUGUUGGUGGGGUAAUGGCCUACCAAGGCGACGACGGGUAGCCGGCCUGAGAGGGUGACCUGCCACACUGGGACUGAGAAACGGCCCAGACUCCUACGGGAGGCAGCAGUGGGGAAUAUUGCACAAUGGGCGGAAGCCUGAUGCAGCGACGCCGCGUGAGGGAUGACGGCCUUCGGGUUGUAAACCUCUUUCAGCACGGAAGAAGCGAGAGUGACGGUACGUGCAGAAGAAGCGCCGGCUAACUACGUG